rnacentral:rRNA from 1 species
CCUACGGGGUGCUGCAGUGGGGAAUAUUGCACAAUGGGCGAAAGCCUGAUCCAGCCAUGCCGCGUGUGUGAAGAAGGCCUUCGGGUUGUAAAGCACUUUCAGUGGGGAAGAAAGCCUUGGGGCUAAUACCCUCGAGGAAGGACAUCACCCACAGAAGAAGCACCGGCUAACAUCCGUGCCAGCAGCCGCGGUAAUACGGAGGGUGCGAGCGUUAAUCGGAAUUACUGGGCGUAAAGCGCGCGUAGGCGGUCUGAUAAGCCGGUUGUGAAAGCCCCGGGCUCAACCUGGGAACGGCAUCCGGAACUGUCAGGCUAGAGUGCAGGAGAGGAAGGUAGAAUUCCCGGUGUAGCGGUGAAAUGCGUAGAGAUCGGGAGGAAUACCAGUGGCGAAGGCGGCCUUCUGGACUGACACUGACGCUGAGGUGCGAAAGCGUGGGUAGCAAACAGGAUUAGAUACCCGAGUAGUC